GGUUGUGGCUUAGUGGUAGAGUGCUUGCCUAGCAUGCAUAAGGCACCAGGUUUGAUCCCUGGCACCA
rnacentral:tRNA from 1 species